GGGUUCGUUUCUUUCUCUCAUUCAGCGCCUCCGCGGCUUCAACCUUGUAGUUAUUCUCUUUCUUCUUUUUUAGCCACCCCUCUCUUGAAAAAUCUAGAUCUCGUUCUUCCUUGAUCUACGUUACGCUUUUAGUGACCGGAUCUGUAUGGAUCUGAACCAGAUCUACACGCCGAUGGUGGUUUUGGCCUGGUCUUUCAUAGAUCUGAUGCAUGGAGGCUCAGAUCUACUGUACAGAGGUGUGCGAUUCAUGUUCGUCUCUCUUUUGGAAUCUGUUUCGUAGAAAGUCGUUUGGUCUUCCAUGUCGCAUGGCUCUUGAGGUAUUUUUUUUUGCAGAUACUGUAGAUAAUCGAUGAGAAGAACGCAGAUCCAGCCGCUUCCGCUUGUUCGAUCACUACAGACGCUUGUAUCGGAUUAUUCAUGAUUGAUUCAUAAGCAGCAUGUCUUCCUCCGGCUAUAGUUGUUGCAGAUCUCGGAUGUUGUAAAAUUAGUGUAUGAUGUGAAGCUAUGGGCUGGAAAAUGUGGAUGUAGGAGAUUUCGGGACGAAAGGCCUCAAAACGCUUCGUCGUUUGUGGUUACUGAGUCCUGAGUGAUCUUGUCAUCCGACCUUUGCCAUGACAGGUGCGCUUGCUUGGCAGGUCAAAAUAUGUUAAUAAAAAAAGUUUUAUUGGUUUAGGGAGAGAUCGCACGGGAGUUGCCCGGGGUCUCUCUCUCGUGUGGUGUGUGGUGUUUGCUGUGCUCUCCUUUUCGUUAUGCCUUUUAUUAUUACCUAUCUGUCGCUCCACUCCGUAUUACGACUCUGGAUCAGAGGGAUACAUCAGAGGAUUCGCUCCAACUCCUAUCGAAUAAGGUAUUAUCUGUCAAUUUACAUUGGAAAGGGUUAGGAUAUUGAAUUUUACAUAAUUAAAGAUAAAAUCAACGAUAGCUAUAGUUUUAAAAUUAACCAUCGAUUUAGUUGCAACUGGAACACAGGUUUCUUUCAAUGAAAUAAUAUUAAUAUCAAUUUAAUAAGCUGGUAAUGUAAAAUACUGCUAAUGUUAAUAUGAAGUUUGGAUGGUCUUAUUGGCAGAAGAUGCUAGGUGGUGUUCAUCAAUAUUCUGAAAGGUAAAACGAUUUUGGUUUUUAAUGAUAAUAUAACCAUGAAUCUAACAUCAGACAUUGAACGCUACACAUCAAAAAUAAAUCGAGCCAACGCAUUUAAUUGUAAGUGUCUUCAUAUUACCUGUGUUCUGUGACAUCUUUUUGCAUAAUUUUGGCACUAAGUCUUUUUUGAUAGAAAUUGUGAAGAUGUACUGUUAUCAUUGUAUCAACUAUAUUGUGCCCUUCUUUUUUUACUUGAUUUGGCAAACACGGCUACUUUUCUCCAAAUAAGAUGGAUCAUUUGUAUUGCCGGCUUUGUGCACAAUUAUCUACUUGUAAGAUGUCCAAUUUCGGGCAACAACAUUUGUAAUGCAGAAAUAGGUCAUUAGCAUUGUAAAUCUCCAGGCGAUAAAUGGAAUAUCAAAUGGAAGACGCCGCAUAGCUUCUGGUGUGACAAUAUCAUUGUGUUGGGCAAAGCAUUUUCGAAGAAAUAUCGUGGAUUUAGGAAGAUUCUGAUUAUUCUUCUACAUCUACAAUUAUUAAGGUGAAGAUAAUUUCGGCUCUUUACAAGUAAAGAAUGAAAUUUUCAUAUGGUAGAUUUAGUUGAUCAGUAUAAUUAUUGUUUUAAUUUAAUUCCUUGAAUUAUUUUAAUUAUUGUUCUUCGACACUUUAUUCAGUAUAUUAUUAAUUUUUUUAGAACCAGAAUUAGUUUAUUGCACUAUGGUUAGUUUUUUUGGUCAUUCACAUUUGUACAUUUAUUCGGUAUACAUUAAUUUAUCAUUAUACAUUAAUACAAAGGGAUUUUUAGAAGUUGGUUUUUCCCUUGCUGGAAAUUCUUAUUGAGAACCCCAGCAAACAGCCAACCCAAAUAUCUUCUAUUUGAACUUCCUAUUUUCAAGGUUUCACUUGUGGUUCGAGUUCAAUUUGCAAUUCAAUUGAUAGUUUCUGUUAUCUGCUAUUGAGGAUGACUAACGGAUUUAUAAUACAGGAAGUUUAGACGUGGUUCAGCGAACACAUUAAAAAAAUCGUGUUUUUAUUUUAUAUUUAUACUGUAUCUACAGUUUUUAUGUAUUUCAGAAAUUCAGUAUACGUAGUUUUUUAUUA